rnacentral:ncRNA from 1 species
CAAAAGCUUGGUCCUGGCUUUACUAUCAGCCCUAGUUAAAUUUAUACAUGCAAGUAUCUGCACCCCUGUGAGAAUGCCCUACUUAACCCAAAGGAAAAGAGGAGCAGGCAUCAGGCACGAACCUCAGCCCAAAACGCCUUGCUUAGCCACACCCCCAAGGGAACUCAGCAGUAAUAAACAUUAAGCAAUAAGUGAAAGCUUGACUUAGUUAAGACUCAGAGGGCCGGUUAACCUCGUGCCAGCCACCGCGGUUAUACGAGAGGCCCAAGUUGAUAGCAACCGGCAUAAAAAGUGGCUUAAACAGAUUACUAGAGCCAAACAUUUUCAGAGCAGUUAUAUGCCCAUGAAAACAGGAGGCCCCAUCACGAAAGUAGCUCUAAAAAUUUUGACCACGAAAGCUAGGGCACAAACUGGGAUUAGAUACCCCACUAUGCCUAGCCCUAAACACAAGUAGCUUAUUAUAUUCUGCUUGCCAGGAAACUACGAGCCCUGCUUAAAACCCAAAGGACUUGGCGGUGCUUUAGACCCCCCUAGAGGAGCCUGUUCUAGAACCGAUAACCCCCGUUAAACCUCACCCUCCCUUGCUUUUUCCCGCCUAUAUACCACCGUCGUCAGCCCACCCUGUGAGGGACAAACAGUGGGCACAAAUGGCACAGCCCAAAACGUCAGGUCGAGGUGUAGCGCAUGAGAGGGGAAGAAAUGGGCUACAUUUACUGAGACAGUAAAUACGGACAAUGCUUUGAAACAAGUUAAUGAAGGAGGAUUUAGCAGUAAGAAGAGAUUAGAGUACUCAACUGAAACUGGCCCUAAAGCGCGCACACACCGCCCGUCACUCUCUCCAACAAUUUUAUAAAGUUAAAUAAAAUAAGAAGACACUAAAGGAGAGGCAAGUCGUAACAUGGUAAGUGUAUUGGAAGAUGCACUUGGACAAAU